ensembl:lncRNA
UUGACUUGGAAAUUCUCUGAAGCUCAGAGUAACUUGGCUAUUUCUCUUGGUAAGCAGAGUUGUGAAAGAAAAGGACGACUAGGGGCUUUUGCUGUUCAGACACAUAGAAAGAUGUGAAGACCAUAGCAUGAUUUGGUGACCCACAACCGACUUUUCUGGAUGGUCUCAUUGAACAUCAGUUUGAGCCAAGCUCCGGUUUUAAGCUGAGUCUGAAGUUUAACUGAAAAUACAAAAGAGCAUCCAAGGAAAAGAACAAAAGGGUGGUGACUUGCUCCGCUCCACUGGGUAACUUGACAUGAGGCAAUCAAGAGUUGGAGCGAGGACAAUGCAUGAACACCAGUGGGAAAUGGAGUCUGGAAGCAUCCAUGCACAUAUAGAGACUUCGUUCGUGAAAAUGACAGCACCAAGAAGACAUGGAAUAGAAACGUACCUUUUUGUUUUUGUUUCAGUGCUAGAGACUGAACCCAAGGCCUGUGUAGCAGACAAGGGCUCUACCACUGAAUCACAGACUGUCUUUUUAAUGAUGGUAGACGUCAGCUAAGGAGCCACAUGGGGAAAAAGGAAACCCUUUCCUCAGUGUAUGUGUGUGUGUGUGUGUGUGUGUGUGUGUGUGUGUGUGUGCAUUCCUAGAUGAUUUAGAAGCAAAUAUGAAAAGGUUG